CCCAGUCCUGCAAAGAGCUUUAGAUACAAUCUCAUUCAAAUCCUCCCAAUAACCCUUUAAGAAACGGAGCCAAGAUGGAAAAGGGCCCAGGGGAGCAGGAGGGGUAUGGGAAGCGGGAAAAUUAGCACUGAGGCCUGGAAGCUUUUAUGAGCACGGAUCUCCCCUGGUUGGUUGAAGAACACAUCAGAAGCUCUCCAGAGGCUGCUGUGAAGAUGCCCUGGAAUUCCUGGUGUGCCUGAUGAGGUGUCGCUACCCCGAGGCUGUCAGCCAGCUGGCCCCUCCGAGCAGCCCCUCUGGGCUCUGGAAGCUCCAGACCCCGCUGCUGCUGCCGUGAGGAAUGAUGUCAGAGAUGGUUAGUCAUUACGGAGCCCUUCCUGAGCAUCAGGGGCUGGCCUGGUGGCUGAGUGGUUGGGUUCGCGCGCUCCACUGCAGGCGGCCCAGUGUUUUCGUUGGUUCGAUUCCUGGGCGCGGACAUGGCACUGCUCAUCAGGCCAUGCUGAGGCAGCGUCCCACAUGCCACAACUAGAAGGACCCACAACAAAGAGUAUACAACUAUG
rnacentral:lncRNA from 1 species